AUGAAGGCAGAUAGGGACAAGUCAGCCAAAGCUAUGCAGCAAAUUUGGAGCAGAAGUAGGACUGAAAGUGAAGAAAACCCUAAGUCUUUAUUAUUCAGACAAACAAAAGGCAAUUCUGUUUGGAUACAAUUUAUCUCUGGUUAUCUCAUGCAGGGCUUGAAACUCCAGAAGAACUUCCUGAACGGUUGGGAAAGAAGUGAGAAUGUUCCCAGGGCCACACCUCUCUGAUCUGCAAGUGUGUGUUACCCUCUCCUGGUCCCAGAUAACAGGUAAUUGGUUUCAGUAAUUGUUUUUUUUUUUUUUUUUUGUUUGUUUUUUCCAGCAUCUUGAGUUAAUAUGUUAACAAAAGACUACCUUUUGUUUCACAGGUGUUCAACAGUUAGAAUAAGAAAUGAUUUUUGGAGAUGUCUGCCCAUUUACUUUGAUUUCCAACUAGACCUGAAGCAGGUAAGUUUAUGCGUGUGUGUAUUCUUGAUAAUACCAGCAGAUGCAAAUGUACUUCCAAAGUCAACAUAUGUUUAGUUUUAGCUUACUUAUUAAAUAACUACAUUUCCAAAUUUUGAGAGGUUACUGGUGUAGUUUUGUGGAUGAAUGCAUAACCGUAGCAUCUCUCAGGCAGUGUUGAACAGAGGUGUUUCUCAUGGUGUUCAUGAAGAAAUGCCAUAAUGAGAUUCCCAGUGCUUAAAGCUGGGUGAAGGCUGUUGAGUUAGUAAUAGUGUUGAGUUGGAUUAGACGGUUUGUCAUCUGAAUGGUUUUGUCAAACUGGGGGCUUUGGCACCGAAUUUGCCUGGAGAUGCCUUUAAUUCUGGUUCUCUUGGUGGGGUAAAACAGUCCUGUGCUGUGGUCCCAAAGUGGCAAGGACAAGCUCAUCCUGACAUGCUUUAAGAAAGCAUUCUGUAGCUUUGCUUUAGAGAGACUUUAUCUCCCACAUCCUGAGUUUUUAUUGGACACUAGAAACACACGCAAAAAAUCAGACGUAAGAAAGAAAGACAAUGGAGUGAAUUAUACGUUGGUUAUUAACAGAGUAGGAAAUGAACUGUGUUGAUGGAGGACUGCGGGAACAGUACAAGUUAUGAUUAAAGGGUGGGCAGACCUGCCUUAAACAAUAGAGUAGAAGUGGGAAGCAAAGAAUGACAAAGUUUUCCUGUGGUGGGAUGGUGGGUGAUGCCAGACACUUAAGAUCAGUUCAUUUACACGCUGAAAUUCAGAUGCUUAGCACGAGUAUACAGGAGCAUUAACAUCCGAGCCUGUAAAAACAAAAGAGCACCCUCCCCUGCCCCUCACAUUCAUAAAUGCACAUUCAUAAAUAUGGAGGAGGAAGCGGUUCACUGAGCGCUUAAACUAUUAAGUGAGAAAAAGGUGUUUGGUGUGAGCAUAGAGACAAGCAGCAGCAGGCUGGAUGACGUCUGAGUCCUCGGACACCUGGAGGUCUGGGCUGCUGGACAAGACAGAGCCCCUCGAGAGCAGGACCCCUCUGCAAGCAUGCACUGGCCCUGAAACACCAAACCCAGCCCUGCCCUGUCGAAGGCGGCUCGUACUGCGUUACUAAAAUGAAGGCUUGGCAUCCUGUGCUGCUAAAAGCCAGCUUGAAUAAUUAAAAGCCACACACACACAAAUAUUUUGUAAGAGCUUAGAGGACCACGACCAGUCCUCGGCUAGAAAAGACAAGCUGAACAGACCUUGCAACUUCUGCUGCCAAGAGGAGGCAGUGUCCCCCUCCCCACCUCCACCUCCGCUGCUCGAGCUCGUGUCCGUUUGACCUUUGUUAGCAAACUGAGUUAAGCUUGCAGAAUAUUAACCCAGUUAAAAAAAAAAAAAAAAAAAAAAAGAGGCUUUUACUACGAUAGAGCACCAAAAUGUCAACCCUUCAGUGAGCCAGAAAUCAACCUCCCAGCCUGAAGCAAGUAAGAGAAGAACUGGGGAAAUGAGGGAAUGCACUUUUCCCUGACCAGCUCAGCCGUUCUGCCUGAAAAGAAAAGGUGUUAACAGCGUUAAUCAACGGGCUGCUGGCGGGUGCCCAGGUCUUCAAGUCUGUAACUAAGCAGGGUGCCAUUAAUUGUAAUGGGGCCGCACUGAAUCCCUGCCAUGGCAGAUCCGGUAUUAUUUCGUGGUCCACAAAGCCAUGUGGUUACCCAUCUAAAGCUUCUCCUCAGCAGGUCAUACUUAUCCAUACCCUGCUACCCUGUCUUCCUGCUCACUUUCCUGCUCACUUUUUUUUUUAAUUCUUCCAUAAAUGAAAAAAUACAUAAGAGGUGGCAAAUGAUCAACAUCAAUGUAUAGAGGGAUUUUCCUAGGUAUUUUACAUCUCCCUUUCUCCUUACCUUUAGCCAUUGUGCUAGGUAUUUGGACAAAUCCAAAGGGGGAACUUAAGCACAGAAAAAUUGCCUUUGGAAACCUAAAUUGUUAGGCAUCUUAAUAACUGAGGGAGCUGUCUUGAGAGAGGAAUGGAACACGCCAUCAGUACAGGAGCCUCCAAAUGAUCUUCAAAGAAAAAGUGAAUUUUGAAGGUGGAGGCACGUUCAGAUUCUGCCUGUAGAGCAGCACAGCUCUCCUUGAUGGUCAUGGGGCAUCUCUCUUUUGUGGCCGUGGUGACAUGUGGCAGUUUUCAGGGCCAUCUCCCUCUGUCCUGGCAAGGAAGCUUAUCAGGAAACCUCACAACCAGGCACCCUGCUUCAAAAGUAAAAUAUCUUUAAGCUCUGAAGGCCACUGGCAGAUUUAAAGACAAGGCAGAUUUAAGGACACAAUUGGCAGAUUAAAGACAAGGACAAGCCAAAAAGGUGAAAACUUUAGAGAACCAUUGUAGGCAUGACUUGGGACAAUCUUACAUUUUGCUUCAGGAGAAAUUCAAAACCGGUUUCUGCAACUAAAUCCACAGCGGAAAAUUACUGAAUUUCACCAACUUAUUUUGGGAAAACAUGAGCAGAAAUAGCCCCACUAAAAGGUCCAGCUGGAAAGUCUGCGCAAAAGUUUAAAGAUGUUUCAGCAAAUGCUUCCCACAUAUUAGUACUAAAAGAUCAGAAUAGUAAGUUCAUAAUGUCUUUGAAUAAAUAUUAAGAAAGCUUAGUAAAGCUGGAAAAA
rnacentral:lncRNA from 1 species